rnacentral:lncRNA from 1 species
CAAUAGGAGUAGUCGGUUCCAUUGAAGAAUGGAGGUCUAUGGGUGGAUUGCCCCUCAAUAUGAGAAGAUCCAAAUGGGGUUGUCAUUUUGAUCUUUUACUCUUUUGGUAGAAGAGUUCCGACUCUGAUACCACUUGUUGCCCAAAAAGACAACCCAAGAGGGAGGGGGGGUGAAUUGGGUUUUAAGUAAUUAUUGCAAAUAAAAACUUAAGGAGUAACUAAUUAAACCUUAUUGCAAGUGGAUUAAUUAGUUUACUAUAUGCAGUGAAU